CAUGCAAGUCGAACGGACCGAUCCUGUCGCAGCGGACCGAGGAUUCGUCUGACGUCCAAAGCUUGGGAUAGGUUAGUGGCGUACGGGUGAGUAACACGUAGGUGACCUGCCCCGAAGAGGGGGAUAACUGCUGGAAACGGCAGCUAAUACCCCAUGUGAUCGGCGAUUCGUUUCGCUGAUUAAAGCUCCGGCGCUUCGGGAGGGGCCUGCGGCCGAUUAGCUAGUUGGUGAGGUAAUGGCCCACCAAGGCAACAAUGGGUAGCCGGCCUGAGAGGGCGAACGGCCACACUGGAACUGAGAUACGGUCCAGACUCCUACGGGAGGCAGCAGUGGGGAAUCUUGCGCAAUGGGGGCAACCCUGACGCAGCAACGCCGCGUGGGUGAUGAAGGUCUUCGGAUUGUAAAACCCUGUCACAGGGGACGAAGUAUAGGUGGUUUAACAGACCAUUUAUUAGACGG
rnacentral:rRNA from 1 species